rnacentral:tRNA from 1 species
GCCUGGGUGGCUCAGUUGAGCAUCCGACUUCAGCUCAGGUCAUGAUCUCAUGGUUCGUGGGUUCAAGCCCCACAUCGGGCU